GCCGAAGUGGUGGAAUUGGCAGACGCGCCGGACUCAAAAUCCGGUGGCCGCGAGGCCGUGCGGGUUCGACCCCCGCCUUCGGCA
rnacentral:tRNA from 1 species